rnacentral:rRNA from 1 species
CCCUACGGGCGGCUGCAGUGGGGAAUAUUGGACAAUGGGCGAAAGCCUGAUCCAGCAACGCCGCGUGAGGGAUGACGGCCUUCGGGUUGUAAACCUCUUUCAGUACCGACGAAGCGCCGAUGAUGGUGGUGACGGUAGGUACAGAAGAAGCACCGGCCAACUACGUGCCAGCAGCCGCGGUAAUACGUAGGGUGCGAGCGUUGUCCGGAAUUAUUGGGCGUAAAGGGCUCGUAGGCGGUUUGUCGCGUCGGGAGUGAAAACACCGGGCUUAACUCGGUGCUUGCUUCCGAUACGGGCAGACUAGAGGCAUGCAGGGGAGAACGGAAUUCCUGGUGUAGCGGUGAAAUGCGCAGAUAUCAGGAGGAACACCGGUGGCGAAGGCGGUUCUCUGGGCAUGUCCUGACGCUGAGGAGCGAAAGUGUGGGGAGCGAACAGGAUUAGAUACCCCGGUAGUCGUG